rnacentral:rRNA from 1 species
GUCUACGGCCACGCCACCUUGAACGUGCCCAAUCGCGUCUGAUCUCGGAAGCUAAGCAGGGUCGGGCCUGGUUAGUACUUGGACAGGAGAACCCCUAGGAAUACCAGGUGCUAUAAGCA